AAACUUUGGUGUGAUGAAGGUGACUUUCCCAGAAUGAGGCUUAUCCUCUGUACCCAGGUGUGCUGACCCCUGUCAUUUCCCCAAAUGUGGGAAUGUCAGCUGCAUAAUUCAUGGCAGUGUGGGACUGCAUUUAUGCUCUCUCUUG
rnacentral:snRNA from 1 species